CCUACGGGGGGCAGCAGUGGGGAAUAUUGGACAAUGGGCGAAAGCCUGAUCCAGCCAUGCCGCGUGUGUGAAGAAGGUCUUCGGAUUGUAAAGCACUUUAAGUUGGGAGGAAGGGCAGUUACCUAAUACGUGAUUGUUUUGACGUUACCGACAGAAUAAGCACCGGCUAACUCUGUGCCAGCAGCCGCGGUAG
rnacentral:rRNA from 1 species